GGUUACGAAAUUGAACUUUCCAAUAUGGCAGAAUACUGCAGGAGAGAAAAUGGUUACUCGUGUAUUUGCUUCGCCUGCAACUGAUGGUAAACAUAAAAUGCGGAUACAUUGCAAGAGCAUCACAUGGAUAAACAGCUCUAUCUCUGAAACGAAAUUUAUUGGCACCACAACGGAAAUAUUGAAGUCAUCCCAUGACAGUCAAGCUGUGAAUGGUGUAUACAUGUAUCCUAAUACACAGAGCAAGAAUGAAAACUAAGGGCAAGGAGUUAGUUGAGAUUAGCGAUUUAUGCGACGAAUUUUCCAGUUGCAGUCAAUAUCAAUAUCUGCUGGAACAUCACAAUUCAAACUUAAUUGAGGUUAAAAUAAAAAAAAAACUUUAUUUUAGGAAAUCGAUCAAAAGUUACACAGUUUAUUGAUCAUGAAUGAGAGUUAACAAAAUAAGUACAUUGGUUCUAAAACCCUUCAUAUAUAGUGAUAGCCUAAAACUUACUGAAAUACAAUGCGGUUGCUGUCGCAUAUGUAAUCAGAAUACACUGUAAUAAAAUGAUUAAGAGAUUGCUAAUGCAGGACUUGCUUUAUGUAAUGCCUAAUACCAAAACCCAAAAAACACCCUGGGAUAAAAAUUGGGAACGUAUUCCCCAACCAAAUGCAGCAGCACAAACUCUGGGGGUCAGAGGAGUAAAUUACUGACUAAAAUUGUGAUCAGUACAUUUUCAAAGAUUUAGUAUUGAGCUAAAUACAGUACAACCAUUGAUUCUUGCAAAAAAAUCCUUUACAACAACCGCACAAUAAUUACUGCUCCAACACAUAUAUGUUAUCGUUAACUGUAACCAAUAAAUCUAAACAGAUUUUGUAAAGACAUAUUUUGCUAACUUCCAUUUUAACAAUGUUGUUGUCUCAAAGUAACACUAAUAAGAAGAUCUCAAGUAUUUCAAACCACUCGAUAAUUCAAUAACGUUUAUAUCUGAUAUAUUGGUUUACUAAUGCCUGAGGAACAGAUAAUGAUAUUAUCAUUUUUAAUGGGAGAAGAGACGGGGAGGGGGGCAACCAUAGGAAAGCUUGAACGUAUCUAUGGAUUGUUUUUUAAGUAAAUUUCAUUAUGGAUAUUGCAGUAAUCACAUGCAUUAAAUUAUUAUUAAAGCUGACUUUCCGUGCUCAUAUAAAGUGACAGAUGAUG